rnacentral:tRNA from 1 species
GCGGGUGUUGUUCAAUGGCAGAACGUCAGCCUUCCAAGCUGAACACGAGGGUUCGAUUCGCUUCACCCGCUCCA